rnacentral:rRNA from 1 species
AGAGUUUGAUCCUGGCUCAGAGCGAACGCUGGCGGCAGGCUUAACACAUGCAAGUCGAGCGGGCGUAGCAAUACGUCAGCGGCAGACGGGUGAGUAACGCGUGGGAACGUACCUUUUGGUUCGGAACAACACAGGGAAACUUGUGCUAAUGCCGGAUAAGCCCUUACGGGGAAAGAUUUAUCGCCGAAAGAUCGGCCCGCGUCUGAUUAGCUAGUUGGUGAGGUAACGGCUCACCAAGGCGACGAUCAGUAGCUGGUCUGAGAGGAUGAUCAGCCACACUGGGACUGAGACACGGCCCAGACUCCUACGGGAGGCAGCAGUGGGGAAUAUUGGACAAUGGGGGCAACCCUGAUCCAGCAAUGCCGCGUGUGUGAAGAAGGCCUUCGGGUUGUAAAGCACUUUAGGUUGGGAGGAAGUUGAGUUGUUUAAGAGAUGAUUCAA